rnacentral:rRNA from 1 species
UUAGCAUGGAAUAAUAAAAUAGGACGUGUGGUUCUAUUUUGUUGGUUUCUAGGACCGCCGUAAUGAUUAAUAGGGACAGUCGGGGGCAUCAGUAUUCAAUUGUCAGAGGUGAAAUUCUUGGAUUUAUUGAAGACUAACUACUGCGAAAGCAUUUGCCAAGGAUGUUUUCAUUAAUCAGGAACGAAAGUUAGGGGAUCGAAGACGAUCAGAUACCGUCGUAGUCUUAACCAUAAACUAUGCCGACUAGGGAUCGGACGGUGUUAUUUUUUGACCCGUUCGGCACCUUACGAGAAAUCAAAGUGCUUGGGCUCCAGGGGGAGUAUGGUCGCAAGGCUGAAACUUAAAGAAAUUGACGGAAGGACACCACCAGGGGUGGAGCCUGCGGCUUAAUUUGACUCAACACGGGGAAACUCACCAGGUCCAGACACAAUGAGGAUUGACAGAUUGAGAGCUCUUUCUUGAUUUUGUGGGUGGUGGUGCAUGGCCGUUCUUAGUUGGUGGAGUGAUUUGUCUGCUUAAUUGCGAUAACGAACGAGACCUUAACCUGCUAAAUAGCCCGUAUUGCUUUGGCAGUACGCUGGCUUCUUAGAGGGACUAUCGGCUCAAGCCGAUGGAAGUUUGAGGCAAUAACAGGUCUGUGAUGCCCUUAGAUGUUCUGGGCCGCACGCGCGCUACACUGACGGAGCCAGCGAGUACUUCCUUGUCAGAAAGGUCCGGGUAAUCUUGUUAAACUCCGUCGUGCUGGGGAUAGAGCAUUGCAAU